rnacentral:lncRNA from 1 species
UCAAAGAUACACACAAACGUGCGAUUUCAGCGUCACCUCUGCCCGCCCGAUGAAGGAAGGGCCUGAGAGGUUCAGCUGCCUGUCUCCCAACCACAUGGUUAGUGAACCACUGCAUCAAGACCCAAGGAAACUCUCUCUAUUUGGCACUACAUCUGUCCUUGCUCUGGGAGACUCGCUGUUUCUGCAUAGAGAACAGAGGGGCCUCCCCAACUUGAAGGGGUAGGAGAACAAGGAGGGCUGUUCCUUCCUGUGCUGAGGCAAAAGGUCUCUGCAGGUACUUUAAAUCGCCCACUCCAGUGUCUGGGUCCAGGCUUCUUAGCCAAGCCUGCUUCUGCAGUCCUUCUUCUUUGCCAGGUUUUAAGGACCAGGGGAGAUAAGAACCAGGACACCUCAUGGAGGCAGAAUAACUCCACUUUCAGCACUGGGCACCUCCUUUUCCAGGUGGAGAGGAGAAAUGGAGACCUUACAGGAGGGUUUGUCAUAUCCUGAUGGGACUUCUUCUGGCUGCCAGCAGUGUUUGGGGAACAAUGCUUCACUGUGUUCUUUUUCUUGGGGAGUCUAUUUCCAUAUUUCUAUAUAUUCUGUUUCAACUCCAGGGAGAGUAGUUAGUGCAGACUGUGGGGGCAAAUUUUAUAUCAACUUGACACAAGUGGACAUUUGGGAAGUGGCCACCUCUAAUGAGAAAAAUGUCCAAGCCACAUUGGCAUUUGGACAAGCCUGUGGGGCAUUUUUUUUUGCUUUGUUUUGUUUUGAUUGAUGAUAGAUGUGGGCGUGGGGGUUCAUCUCAUUGUGCUCGAUAUAACCCUUGGCUAGGAACCUGAAUGGUAUAAGAAAGCAGGCUGAGUAAGGCUCGAGGAGCAAGCCACUAAUCGUGUUCCUCUAUGGUCUCUGGUUUAGAUGCCAGGUUCUUUCGCUGUUUGAGAGCCUGCCCCACCUUCUCUAGUGAUGGUCUGUUACCCGGAAAUGUAAGCAAAAUGAACCCCUUUCGUCUGCUUUUGAUCAUGAUGAUUUUCAUAACAAUAGAAACCUAACGAAGUAAGACAUGGACCAAAGAAAUGAUUCUACACAACUUCAGCUGGGUGAACCAGUGAGCUUAUUGGGGUCACUUACAGGUGCAUAAACAACUUAUGGGUAAUUACAUUAUCAAAAAGUCUUCCUCCCAUGUAGACCCUCUUAUCUGCUAAUGCAGUCCCAUGGAGGGGUUGGGCUUUGUGAAUCUCACAUGCUCUCUGGU